AGUGAACGCUGGCGGUAGGCCUAACACAUGCAAGUCGAACGGCAGCACAGUAAGAGCUUGCUCUUACGGGUUGCGAGUGGCGGACGUGUGAGGAAUACAUCGGAAUCUACUUUUUCGUGGGGGAUAACGUAGGGAAACUUACGCUAAUACCGCAUCCGCCCUACCGUUGAAAGCAGGGGAUCUUCGGGCCUUGCGCGAUUGAAUGAGCCGAUGUCGGAGUAGCUAGUUGGCGGGGUAAAGGCCUACCAAGGCGAGGAUCCGUAGCUGGUCUGGGAGGCUGAUCAGCCACACUGGAACGGAAACACGGUCCAGACUCCUACGGGAGGCAGCAGUGGGGAAUAUUGGACAAUGGGCGCAAGCCUGAUCCAGCCAUACCGCGUGGGUUAAGAAGGCCUUCGGGUUGUAAAGCCCUUUUGUUGGGAAAGAAAAGCAGCAGGUUAAUACCCCGCUGUUCUGACGGUACCCAAAGAAUAAGCACCGGCUAACUUCGUG
rnacentral:rRNA from 1 species